rnacentral:rRNA from 1 species
GUUGUAUGGUUAAGUGACUAAGCGUACAUGGUGGAUGCCUUGGCAGUCAGAGGCGAUGAAGGACGUACUAACCUGCGAUAAGCUGUGAGAAGUCGGUAAGAGACGCUAUUACUCACAGAUUUCCGAAUGGGGAAACCCACCCGAGAUAACUCGGGUAUCUGUUACUGAAUACAUAGGUA